GACCCAGCAUGAUUUAGUGGUUUGAGCAUUGGACUACAACUCUGGAAACCAGGGAUCAAAUCCCUGCUUAGUCA